GGUAAGGUGGCUGAGUAAGCGGUGGAUUGUAAAUCCACACACAGGGGUUGCAGUCCCCUUCUUGCCA
rnacentral:tRNA from 1 species